rnacentral:sRNA from 2 species
GGCAAUGCUUUCUAGGGUUCCGCCGAAAGGGACUGGUCCAAGAGAAGGCGGCGGUUCGAUGAACCGUACACGGAGGGAUAAAAGCCCGGGAGGU